rnacentral:tRNA from 1 species
GGAGAGCUAUAGCUCAGUGGUAGAACAUCUGCCUUGCAUGCAGAAGGUCCCAAUUUCAAACGCUGACAUCUCCA